GGAUAUCCAGCUCACACUGAAGCAGGGACCUCUUCAACUUAGGGGUCACAGACCCAGGAAGACCCUCGGCACCUCUCUGGGCAAGGCACACCAUCAGCAGACUGUCCCUGUGCAGCGGAAGGCCUUCACUAAUCAACCUGGUCCCAGAGAAGUCAGAACACUGCAAGCAAGUUCCACUCCUUCCCUUCCCUCCCAAGGGAUGAGCCAGGAACUGGCUGGCUUCUUCAAAACUGUACUGUGGAAGGCAAGCACAAAUGCCAUGAAAUUUCCUGCUGUUUAGAGUGAGAC